rnacentral:rRNA from 1 species
AUUCAGACAAACUCCGAAUGCCAAUUAAUUUAACUUGGGAGUCAGAACAUGGGUGAUAAGGUCCGUGUUCGAAAGGGAAACAGCCCAGACCACCAGCUAAGGUCCCAAAAUAUAUGUUAAGUGGAAAAGGAUGUGGCGUUGCCCAGACAACUAGGAUGUUGGCUUAGAAGCAGCCAUCAUUUAAAGAGUGCGUAAUAGCUCACUAGUCGAGUGACACUGCGCCGAAAAUGUACCGGGGCUAAACAUAUUACCGAAGCUGUGGAUUGUCCUUUGGACAAUGGUAGGAGAGCGUUCUAAGGGCGUUGAAGCAUGAUCGUAAGGACAUGUGGAGCGCUUAGAAGUGAGAAUGCCGGUGUGAGUAGCGAAAGACGGGUGAGAAUCCCGUCCACCGAUUGACUAAGGUUUCCAGAGGAAGGCUCGUCCGCUCUGGGUUAGUCGGGUCCUAAGCUGAGGCCGACAGGCGUAGGCGAUGGAUAACAGGUUGAUAUUCCUGUACCACCUAUAAUCGUUUUAAUCGAUGGGGGGACGCAGUAGGAUAGGCGAAGCGUGCGAUUGGAUUGCACGUCUAAGCAGUAAGGCUGAGUAUUAGGCAAAUCCGGUACUCAUUAAGGCUGAGCUGUGAUGGGGAGAAGACAUUGUGUCUUCGAGUCGUUGAUUUCACACUGCCGAGAAAAGCCUCUAGAUAGAAAAUAGGUGCCCGUACCGCAAACCGACACAGGUAGUCAAGAUGAGAAUUCUAAGGUGAGCGAGCGAACUCUCGUUAAGGAACUCGGCAAAAUGACCCCGUAACUUCGGGAGAAGGGGUGCUCUUUAGGGUUAACGCCCAGAAGAGCCGCAGUGAAUAGGCCCAAGCGACUGUUUAUCAAAAACACAGGUCUCUGCUAAACCGUAAGGUGAUGUAUAGGGGCUGACGCCUGCCCGGUGCUGGAAGGUUAAGAGGAGUGGUUAGCUUCUGCGAAGCUACGAAUCGAAGCCCCAGUAAACGGCGGCCGUAACUAUAACGGUCCUAAGGUAGCGAAAUUCCUUGUCGGGUAAGUUCCGACCCGCACGAAAGGCGUAACGAUUUGGGCACUGUCUCAACGAGAGACUCGGUGAAAUCAUAGUACCUGUGAAGAUGCAGGUUACCCGCGACAGGACGGAAAGACCCCGUGGAGCUUUACUGUAGCCUGAUAUUGAAAUUCGGCACAGCUUGUACAGGAUAGGUAGGAGCCUUUGAAACGUGAGCGCUAGCUUACGUGGAGGCGCUGGUGGGAUACUACCCUAGCUGUGUUGGCUUUCUAACCCGCACCACUUAUCGUGGUGGGAGACAGUGUCAGGCGGGCAGUUUGACUGGGGCGGUCGCCUCCUAAAAGGUAACGGAGGCGCUCAAAGGUUCCCUCAGAAUGGUUGGAAAUCAUUCAUAGAGUGUAAAGGCAUAAGGGAGCUUGACUGCGAGACCUACAAGUCGAGCAGGGUCGAAAGACGGACUUAGUGAUCCGGUGGUUCCGCAUGGAAGGGCCAUCGCUCAACGGAUAAAAGCUACCCCGGGGAUAACAGGCUUAUCUCCCCCAAGAGUUCACAUCGACGGGGAGGUUUGGCACCUCGAUGUCGGCUCAUCGCAUCCUGGGGCUGUAGUCGGUCCCAAGGGUUGGGCUGUUCGCCCAUUAAAGCGGUACGCGAGCUGGGUUCAGAACGUCGUGAGACAGUUCGGUCCCUAUCCGUCGUGGGCGUAGGAAAUUUGAGAGGAGCUGUCCUUAGUACGAGAGGACCGGGAUGGACAUACCUCUGGUGUACCAGUUGUCGUGCCAACGGCAUAGCUGGGUAGCUAUGUGUGGACGGGAUAAGUGCUGAAAGCAUCUAAGCAUGAAGCCCCCCUCAAGAUGAGAUUUCCCAACUUCGGUUAUAAGAUCCCUCAAAGAUGAUGAGGUUAAUAGGUUCGAGGUGGAAGCAUGGUGACAUGUGGAGCUGACGAAUACUAA